rnacentral:lncRNA from 10 species
GUGGAAUGAAUGGUCCCCCCUGCAGCUCAGCCUCAUCUCCUUAAUGGAUCCUAAUUACCCCUGUCCUGCUUAUAGCUUCUCUCCAGGACCCACUUGUCAGGAUGAUGGAUGAGGUGACUGGGAGGUGGGGCCAGCUGGGACUGGAGGAAUCCCCCCACUGUCUAGUAGGGCGGGGACGCAGGAACUUUCAGUCAGUCCCAAAGAUUCUGAGGAAGAGAAGACAACAUUGCAGGAUGAGCUCUUCUCCCCUUUUGUCCCCAAAACUUGGGCCAGUUCUAGCAAACUCAUACACCACUCCAGUAGCCCUGUGUAGAGGCCCACAUGGAGAGGAACAAAAUUGCCAGCACUAACUCAUGAGGCAUAUGAGUGAACCAACUUAAGAGCAUAUCCUCCAGCCCUGGUCAAGCCUUCAGAUGACUUCAGUCCCUCAGCCCUCAUGUGCUCCAGUUGAGGCCCCAGACAUCAUGGAGCAGAGGACAUUUCCUCAUGAUUAAUUUCAGACCAUACAUCUUUGGCAAGAGUUUCACAGAAACUUCUCAUCGCAUCUUAUCAGGCGGCACACGAUUCUGUUUUGUCUUGGAAUGAAGGAUGCUGACUUUGAUCACUUGCUUGCCGUAGUGUCUGCCAGCCGUCUCCACCAUCAAGCUACUCUUUUCUUCUUUCCUGUGCUGGGCUGUCCUCUGCCCUAAGGCAGAAGCCCUCCUCACUCCUCAGGUCUCCACACUCCAUGCUCAUUGUCUCAUGCUGCCCAAGCUCCUCAUCUCCGUGGAGCCCCACACACCAUGCCGGGUUUAGCCCUGGCCACCCUCUCAUGCCUCUGUCACAGCCUCAGCCUCGAUAUACUGUUGGUCUCCAACACCUCCGUGGGCCACUGCAUGUCCCCUCUGCUCUGGCACAGGUGCCUGCUCUUCUAGGUCUCCCUAAUGGUUUGCGGAUUGAAUAGUUUAAGCAGGGAAGGAAUAGGAAGGAAGGAAGGAAGGAAAGAAGGAAGGAAGAAGGAAGGGGAAGAGGAAGAGAAAGGAGAAGAAAGAGGAGGAGGAGGAAAAAGAGGAAGAAGAAGGAGGAGGAGGAGAAGGAGGAGGAGGGGGAAGAGGAGGAGGAAAAGAAGCAGAGGAAGAAGAAGAAGAGGAAGAAGAAGAAGAAGAAAGAAGAGGAAGAAGAAGAAAGAAGAAGAAGAAGAAG